rnacentral:rRNA from 1 species
GACGAACGCUGGCGGCGUGCCUAAUACAUGCAAGUUGAGCGAUGAAGAUUGGUGCUUGCCCCAAUUUGAAGAGCAGCGAACGGGUGAGUAACGCGUGGGGAAUCUGCCUUUGAGCGGGGGACAACAUUUGGAAACGAAUGCUAAUACCGCAUAACAACUUUAAACAUAAGUUUUAAGUUUGAAAGAUGCAAUUGCAUCACUCAAAGAUGAUCCCGCGUUGUAUUAGCUAGUUGGUGAGGUAAAGGCACACCAAGGCGAUGAUACAUAGCCGACCUGAGAGGGUGAUCGGCCUCAAUGGGACUGAGACACGGCCCAAACUCCUACGGGAGGGAGCAGUAGGGAAUGUUCGGCAAGGGGCGAAAGUCUGACCGAGCAACGCCGCGUGAGUGAAGAAGGUUUUCGGAUCGUAAAACUCUGUUGGUAGAGAAGAGCGUUGGUGAGAGUGGAAAGCUCAUCAAGUGACGGUAACUACCCAGAAAGGGACGGCUAACUACGUG